rnacentral:rRNA from 1 species
GAUGAACGCUAGCGGCAGGCUUAACACAUGCAAGUCGAGGGGUAUUGGUUUUCGGACCAAGAGACCGGCGCACGGGUGCGUAACGCGUAUGCAACCUACCUUUACAGAGGGAUAGCCCAGAGAAAUUUGGAUUAAUACCUCAUGGUAUAUAUCAUUCGCAUGUUUGAUAUAUUAAAGUUCCAACGGUAAAAGAUGGGCAUGCGUCCUAUUAGCUAGAUGGUGAGGUAACGGCUCACCAUGGCGACGAUGGUAGGGGGCCUGAGAGGGUGGUCCCCCACACUGGUACUGAGACACGGUCCAGACUCCUACGGGAGGCAGCAGUGGGGAAUUUUGGACAAUGGGCGAAAGCCUGAUCCAGCAAUGCCGCGUGCAGGAUGAAGGCCUUCGGGUUGUAAACUGCUUUUGUACGGAACGAAACGGUGAGCUCUAAUAAAGUUUGCUAAUGACGGUACCGUAAGAAUAAGCACCGGCUAACUACGUG